rnacentral:rRNA from 1 species
UGGCAAGCGUUAUCCGGAUUUAUUGGGCGUAAAGCGAGCGCAGGCGGUUUGAUAAGUCUGAAGUUAAAGGCUGUGGCUUAACCAUAGUAUGCUUUGGAAACUGUUCAACUUGAGUGCAGAAGGGGAGAGUGGAAUUCCAUGUGUAGCGGUGGAAUGCGUAGAUAUAUGGAAGAACACCAGUGGCGAAGGCGGCUCUCUGGUCUGUAACUGACGCUGAGGCUCGAAAGCAUGGGUAGCGAACA